ACAAACUCUGUGGGGAUAUGGUUCACACAGAAGAAAAGACAAUCCAUUGGAGUAAUACACUCACCAGGAACAGAGACUCUAACAGGACUCUUAUGGGGAUAAUAAGAAAAAGAAAAAGAAAGCGUGAGCAGGACACGACUCUGAAUUGGGGAAAGACAAAACUGACACAUCGUGAACAUGACACGACUGGACUGGAGACCUUUCUGGGGAGUGAAGGACUCACACUGGGGAAUAAAGUGAAGGAUUCCAAAGGAAGAACACCCAUUGGAAAGACACAAGCUGAUUCCUGGGGAAAAGCAACAAGAUGAGGUGUUACCGGUAUAAGGGCAACAAGCUCAGGAAGAAUGAAUAUCUAAGACCGGUAUAAGGGUGAGAGAU
rnacentral:lncRNA from 1 species